rnacentral:rRNA from 1 species
UGUGUAGGCGGCUUUCUAAGUUUGUUGUGAAAUCUCCCGGCUUAACCGGGAGGGUGCGGCGAAGACUGGGAGGCUAGAGUAUGGGAUGGGAGAGUGGAAUUCCUGGUGUAGCGGUGAAAUGCGUAGAUAUCAGGAGGAACACCUGCGGUGUAGACGGCUCUCUGGACCAUUACUGACGCUGAGACACGAAAGCGGUGGGUAGACAAACAGGAUUAGACUACCCUGGUACGUCCACCGACCCUAAACGAUGCAUAUUUGGUGUGGGCCAUUCAUUUGGUCUGUGCCGGAGCUAACGCGUUAAAUAUGCCGCCGUGGGGAGUACAGUCGCAAGGCUAGAA